rnacentral:rRNA from 1 species
GUGGGGAAUAUUGCGCAAUGGGGGAAACCCUGACGCAGCGACGCCGCGUGAGCGAAGAAGGCCUUAGGGUUGUAAAGCUCUGUUUUAAGGGACGAAUGUCGUGGGGAGUAAUAUGCUCUGCGAAUGACGGUACCUUAAGAGGAAGCCCCGGCUAACUACGUGCCAGCAGCCGCGGUAAGACGUAGGGGGCGAGCGUUGUCCGGAAUUACUGGGCGUAAAGAGCACGUAGGCGGGAACUGAAGUCAGGUGUGAAAGACCGGGGCUCAACUCCGGGGUUGCAAUUGAAACUGGGUUUCUUGAGGGCAGGAGAGGAAAGCAGAAUUCCUGGUGUAGCGGUGAAAUGCGUAGAAAUCAGGAGGAAUACCAGUGGCGAAGGCGGCUUUCUGGACUGACCCUGACGCUGAGGUGCGAAAGCGUGGGUAGCAAACAGGAUUAGAAACCCCAGUAGUCC